AACCUCACCUUACUUAAUAUAUUACCUUAAAUCACUACGUGUUUAUAUACCAACAUAUAUUACGUAUAUUACAUAUAUAUAUAUACCCACACUUACAUGCAUAUAUACAUGCAUUAUAUACACACACAUAUACACAAGACACGAAUACCACUUAAUAUAUAUAUAUAUAUAUGAAGAUAUAGACGCGCCGUGCGCCUCCUGAUUCAAAAAGUGAUGAGAAAUGAAACGUAACUUCCGUUUCCGGCCCGGGUUUCCCGCCUACAAUCGUCAAGAGUUCGUUACUCGCGUCUUUAAAAGUCUCGAGAGAACGGAUGGCCCUUAAGAUCUGCGACAGUCCCGGCAGUACACGCCAAUAAAAAAGACGCACGAUCAACCGGUAUCGAGGAUCGAGAGAAUUUCCCAUGUGUAAAGAAAAAAUUCGUUGAAUGGCCGAGGCACGGAAGUAGAGAUUCCUUCCGUGUUUUAAUGGUAGAGCAUAAAUAGUUCUCGAUGAGAUAGGAUUGCGGCGCGUGCUUUUGUCAGGAUACGAAAUUAAGAUAGGCAAAGAUCACUUUUAGGAUCACACUCACCGGCGUAUUUGUAAGUUUUUUGAGAAUGCGUUUAAACGUGACCGAGUAAAAUACUUUUUGAAUUGGAGACGUCGGCUGCUAUAUAUCCAAAUCAAUAUGAACGUAAGAUAUUGAUAUGGGUGUACCAAUAUUUCGUACUGAAAACGUGGUAUUGGCUGAUUGCUUAAUUUAUUCUUUUUUGUCUUUUCGUUUUACUUUUUUCUUUUAACUUUUUUUUUUCUACAGUGUCCGCCGUGUCCAAACGAGCGUGCGCGAUGAUCUUCAUCCGAAUCGAUCUGAUCAAUGAAAUCAUGAAUUAUGUUAAAUAAUAAUAAUAAUGAUGAUGAUAAUGAUUAUAUUACGUUCUAGAGAUGAAGGGGGGAGAAAAAACAGGAAGUGUUAAAAGUUCGAUGACUAGUCACGCGAUAAAGACACGGCGUGACACCAGGGUGGACACGAAUGCUGUAUCUAAAAGCUCAGCGUAUAUUUAUAAUACUUCUACUUGAUAGAAACUUUGUAGCUCACUUUUAACAAUAGUGCAUGUUGCUUUUAUCUCGGGCUACAAGUUUCUCGAUAUUACAAAAAAUGGAAAGAAAAAAAGGUUGUAUAAUGGAAUAAAUAAAUUCAUAUUUGUUCUCUCGCGUAAUUAUAUAUGUAAUAUUAUUAAAUGUUUGUGCCGCGUUAGAAAAAUUAAAUUAAAAAGAAUAAACGUCCUUUUCGUUAAGGAGAUUAAAUUAUGUUUUGCUAUUUAACGAAACUUGUGGUCGAUAUUGCAUGUUUGUAGUUUGAAACAUUAUUCUUCCUUCGACAAUAGUAGCGGACUUAGUUCUUUCUAUAUUAUAAUUAUUGAACUGUUUGAGUAUAUAGAUUGUGUAUAUAUAUAUUUAUAUAUUUAUAUAUAUCGUAUAUAUAUCAUAUAUAUAUAUGUAUAUAUAUGUGUAUAUAUAUAUAUAUGUAUAUUUCGUAGAUACAAUUAUAUAGUUAUUUUUUAAUAAGGAUAAAAGUUGAAAGAAAAACGUAAUAUCAUGAUCGCUCGUCGUUCAAUUGAAGAAAAGAAAGAAAGAGAAAGAAACAAAAAAAAAAAAAAAAGAAAUAAAAAAAAAUGUAAUAAAAAAGAAAAGAAUAUUUUAACACGAGCUUCGUUGCCGAAGAAAGACAAAGAAUGAAAAUGAAAGGGAAGCGUGUUUGCGUGUGGAAGUGUGGAAUUAUAUAUAAUAUAUAGACGAUAACGUCGAGUGAAAUUACGUUUGCCUGCAUCAAUCGGUUAAUGUGCAAGUAUAGCUUUGAUAAUUUUUACGUAUUUGUAUUUUAGUUUGCAUGUUUGGAACGCGAAGUAGAGAUAUAUGUAUGUAUCAUAUAUACAUAUAUCUGAAGGGUGAAAAAGCAUCAUCGAAUAAGAUUGACAAAUUACUUUCAUCUUCUUUCAUUUAUGAAGAAAUAAGAAAAUGUUAAUAACAAUUCAUUGUAUUAAAAGAAGAAGAAAAAAACGAAGAUGCUUGAACCCGUACUUGAUAUGUUGCUAUGAUAUUUAUUAUGCAUGCUUUUGAUAUAUUAUAUAUUAGAAAUUUCCUCUGAAUUCAUUCUCUCCGAUAAUAAUAAUAAAAAAAAAAAAAAGAAUAAAAUAUAAUAAAAUAAAAUAAAAACAAUGAAGGCUGAUUCUGAUCUAUUAUACAAUAAUUUAAUUAAUUGCUUCGAUGAUCAAUACAAAAACAUUCUGGAUCAUCAAUAAAAUACUUGCUUUUUUUUUUAUAAAUGGAGAGAUCGAAUGAGGACAUUUUUACAAUUUUGAAUGAACUUUUUGUCCAUGUAAUCAAAUAGUUUUGUAGUUUUUUUAAACUAUUUCCAAGAGAUCUUCCUAUUCCUUUCGGUUUUUCGCUAUUGAAAUGAUAAUUUUAUUCAAUAUAUACGAAGUAGUAGAUAUCCAUAAAUCGUUCUUUCCUUCAUUGUAUUGUUUUUUGUUAAUUGGUUGGACAGAAAGAAAGAGAAAAACAGAGGAAGAGAAAGAAUAAGAGAGAAAAAGAACGAAUCUGUCGGGAUAUCGAGAUUAGGAUCAUAGGAAUUUCUCUCGCAGUUUUAUUUGCAUGUGCAUGUGUUUGGCAGACACUAUACCAUGUAUACUGUUAAUAGUGAGCUUAAAUGAUAUAGUGUUUUAUGAAACUUUAGUCAAAAGUUUGAGGGUGUUAAUGCCUCCAUUAUUGAGAAACGGGUAAUGGUACGGGAGAUGGAAUUUUUUGAUCUCGAUGACGAGUAUAAAUCUUAAUCGAUCUUUACAAAUAUGACACGACGUGAUUCUUCGACCUGAAUAUUAUCUAUUAUCUAACUUAGAAAAGAAAGUUAUUGACGAUGCGGAGACUCGUUUAGAGGUAAAAAAAAAUCGUCUUUCAUACUGGUCACUCGAUUUUUACUUUGGAGGCACGACUGUUCCACCGAAGCAUUUCGAUAAAUUAUCGUCAUUAGCAGAAACAGAUGGACUACAAUAUUAUGAUUGAUGGCAGUGUUCGAAUUAUUGCUCAUCUUUUUUUUUUUUUUACGUUAUGUUUACUGAAACAAAAAGGAAAAAAAAAAGAAAAGAAAAAGCAAGAAAUUAAUACGAAAACCUUAACCAUUUGGCUCUGACGCGAACUGGGUCGAAUAUGCUCAUUGGGACAAAUCGAGGGAGAGAGAAAGAGAAAGAGAGUUGAAAGAAGGAGACGGGGAGAGGGAAA